ACUCAAAUGAAUAGACGGGGGCCCGCACAAGCGGUGGAGCAUGUGGUUCAAUUCGACGCAACGCGAAGAACCUUACCUGGACUCGAAAUGUGGUCGACUGCCUCAGAGAUGAGGCUUUCCCGCAAGGGACGGCUGCAUAGGUGCUGCAUGGCUGUCGUCAGCUCGUGUCGUGAGAUGUUGGGUUAAGUCCCGCAACGAGCGCAACCCUCACCCUUAGUUGCUCGUCCCGGCUUGCCGGGAAAGCACCCUAAGGGAACCGCCUCGGAUAACGGGGAGGAAGGUGGGGAUGACGUCAAGUCCUCAUGGCCUUUAUGCCCAGGGCUACACACGUGCUACAAUGGCCGGUACAAAGCGUUGCGAACCCGCAAGGGGGAGCCAAUCGCUAAAAACCGGUCUCAGUUCGGAUUGCAGUCUGCAACUCGACUGCAUGAAGCUGGAAUCGCUAGUAAUCGCGAAUCAGAACGUCGCGGUGAAUACGUUCCCGGGCCUUGCACACACCGCCCGU
rnacentral:rRNA from 1 species